UACGGAGGGUGCAAGCGUUAUUCGGAAUUACUGGGCGUAAAGCGUGCGUAGGCGGUUCUUUAAGUCUGGUGUGAAAUCCCCGGGCUCAACCUGGGAACUGCAUUUGAUACUGAAGAGCUAGAGUGUGGUAGAGGAUAGUGGAAUUCCCGGUGUAGCGGUGAAAUGCGUAGAUAUCGGGAGGAACAUCAGUGGCGAAGGCGGCUAUCUGGACCAACACUGACACUGAGGCACGAAAGCGUGGGUAGCAAACAGG
rnacentral:rRNA from 1 species